UACAGAGGUGGCAAGCGUUGUUCGGAAUUACUGGGCGUAAAGGGCGCGUAGGUGGCCUUUUGAGUCAGACGUGAAAUCCCCCGGCUUAACCUGGGAACUGCGUCUGAUACUGGAAGGCUUGAGUUCGGGAGAGGGAUGUGGAAUUCCAGGUGUAGCGGUGAAAUGCGUAGAUAUCUGGAGGAACACCGGUGGCGAAGGCGGCAGCCUGGACCGAAACUGACACUGAUGCGCGAAAGCCAGGGGAGCAAACGGG
rnacentral:rRNA from 1 species